GCUUGCGCUCGAUUGUAUUGAGUCUCAUCCGGUAGAGCGAAUGAUUAGAGGCAUUGGGGUCGAAACGACCUCAACCUAUUCUCAAACUCCAAAUAGAUGAGACCCCCGGCUUUCUAAAAUGAAGCCGUGGAAUAGGAUCAGAGUGCCAAGUGGGCCAAUUUUGGUAAGCAGAACUGGCGCUGUGG
rnacentral:rRNA from 1 species